rnacentral:rRNA from 1 species
UACGUAGGUGGCAAGCGUUAUCCGGAAUUACUGGGCGUAAAGCGCACGCAGGCGGCGCAGCAAGUUCGACGUGAAAGCUCCCGGCUCAACUGGGAGAGGUCGUUGAAGACUGCUGUGCUUGAGGCAAUGAGAGGGGUGUAGAAUUCCCGGUGUAGUGGUGGAGUGCGUAGAUAUCGGGGGGAAUACCAGUGGCGAAGGCGGCAUCCUGGACCGACAUUGACGCUGAGGAGCGAAAGCUAGGGGAGCAAACGGG